GACGAACGCUGGCGGCGUGCUUAACACAUGCAAGUCGAACGGAAAGGCCUCUUUCGGGGGGUACUCGAGUGGCGAACGGGCGAGUAACACGUGAGUAACCUGCCCUUGACUUUGGGAUAACUUCAGGAAACUGGGGCUAAUACCGGAUAGGAGCUCCUGCUGCAUGGUGGGGGUGGGAAAGUUUCGGCGGUUGGGGAUGGACUCGCGGCUUAUCAGCUUGUUGGUGGGGUAGUGGCUUACCAAGGCUUUGACGGGUAGCCGGCCAGAGAGGGUGACCGGCCACAUUGGGACUGAGAUACGGCCCAGACUCCUACGGGGGGCAGCAGUGGGGAAUAUUGCACAAUGGGUGGAAGCCUGAUGCAGCAACGCCGUGUGCGGGAUGACGGCCUUCGGGUUGUAAACCGCUUUCGCUCAUGACGAAGCUUUGUGUGACGGUAGUGGGUAAAGAAGCACCGGCUAACUACGUG
rnacentral:rRNA from 1 species